rnacentral:misc_RNA from 1 species
UCGCAAACGAAAAAAAAACCGACUUCAAUUACAUCGACAAGUAGUACAACGUAGGUCGACGAAAAAGCGUCAAGUAAAAACGCAUUAUUAGAUAUAGCUCGAAAAGUAGUUGUUAGAUCUCAAAUAAAUUUAAAUGGGACCAAUUGGCACACACCACCUUUCUAUUAAAAGAAAAUUUGUCGAAAUCGCUCCAACCAGUUAAAAGUUCUGAUGUAACAUACAUA